rnacentral:lncRNA from 10 species
GAAGUUCCUGAUGCCCACACCUGCUGGUCUCACCGCUAGGGCCUGGGCAUCACAGGCAGGGGGAAUGGGGAGGGGACGGUAGCGUCAGCCUACACCCACACGCAGUUUCCUGAUAAAAGGUCCUUUGGAAACUUUGAUUCUCUUCUCACCAAGUUGAACGGAGAUGUGUUCCCAUAGUAAGAGUGAGGCCCCUGCAUUUGCUGCCCUCGGUUUUCCCAACUAACACCAGGGCCUCCCCCCUGUACCCCAUUCAUAUGCCUCAGAAGCUGACAAUGACUGUUGGGCUUUUCCAAUGAAUACCAGAACACCAUUUCCUGCAGCCUGAAAAGAAGACAGUAUAAUUGUUUGGCAGCAAGAGAAUCCAGGUGCCCUUCCAUGAGAAGCCCAAGCCAUGUGGAGAAGCCACGUCUAGGGACUCCAGUUAACACUCUCAGCUGAGUCCCCAGCUGACAGUCAGCAUCAACUGCCAGCCACCUCUGUCUAAAAGUGGGCUAUCUUGGGCAUCCAGCCCAGUCAAGCCUUCAGAUGAGUCCAGUCCCAGCCACUAUCUCACACAACCACACGAGAGACAUCAAGAACUCCCAGUGGAGUCCAGUCAGCCCAUGGAACUGCAAGAGACAGGAUCUCGCUGCGUUGCUCAGACUGGUCUCGAACUCCUGGGCUUAAGGGAUUCUCCUGCCUCAAUCACAGCCUCCCAAGUAGCUGAGAUUAAAAGUGCUCACCACCGUGCCAGCGAGUUCAGUUUUUGAGGGUGGAGCCAAGACUCUGAGGAGAGGGCUGAACUGUGAACCUAGAAGUACCAUCUCCCCCUGCACACACCUUUGGUCAAGUUGACCCCAAGAAGAAGGACAAGUCCUCUGCACGGCGAUGAGGCCAUACACACAGUCUGUGGCCCGGCUUUGGGAGACUGAUGGGACAAAGGAUGUUUUGCACGAUCCUUGGUCUCUGAGCAAAUAUAUACAUGGGUUAACACAAAGGCUCUCUUUUUGAAAAAUGUGACUGUGAAAGUGUGCCCUCCCAGAUAUUCCAGGCAUAACACAGGAGUGACUGCAUGUUUGGGGACAGUGCGGAGGCCACUCUGAUUAGAUCAGAGGAUGUGGACUGGUUCAUGAUGUAAAAGCUGAAGGGAGGCCGGGCACAGUGGCUCACGCCUGUAAUCCUAGCACUUUGGGAGGCCAAGGUGGGUGGAUCACGAGGUCAGGAG